rnacentral:tRNA from 1 species
GCGGGUGUGGCGGAACCGGUAGACGCGCUAGGUUUAGGUCCUAGUGGGGCAACCCGUGGAGGUUCGAGUCCUCUCACCCGCA